rnacentral:rRNA from 1 species
GACGAACGCUGGCGGCGUGCUUAACACAUGCAAGUCGAACGGAAAGGCCCUGCUUUUGUGGGGUGCUCGAGUGGCGAACGGGUGAGUAACACGUGAGUAACCUGCCCUUGACUUUGGGAUAACUUCAGGAAACUGGGGCUAAUACCGGAUAGGAGCUCCUGCUGCAUGGUGGGGGUUGGAAAGUUUCGGCGGUUGGGGAUGGACUCGCGGCUUAUCAGCUUGUUGGUGGGGUAGUGGCUUACCAAGGCUUUGACGGGUAGCCGGCCUGAGAGGGUGACCGGCCACAUUGGGACUGAGGUACGGCCCAGACUCCUACGGGAGGCAGCAGUGGGGAAUAUUGCACAAUGGGCGGAAGCCUGAUGCAGCAACGCCGCGUGCGGGAUGACGGCCUUCGGGUUGUAAACCGCAUUCGCCUGUGACGAAGCGUGAGUGACGGUAAUGGGUAAAGAAGCACCGGCUAACUACGUG